rnacentral:lncRNA from 1 species
GAAAGAAAUGGGGCUGGGCGAGACCUAACUCGGGCACAGAAGCGGCUUCCAAACCUGGAAGGGAGAAAACAGCGGGUCGGGUCGCGGCUCCAGAAAUUUCCGAGCGCCCGGCUGCGGGCGAGCGGGCGCGGGGGCCCGCCGGGGAGGGGGCGGCGGCACCUGUCACUCGCGGCCCCGCCGCCCCGCAGCCCCCGGCCCGCGCCCCGCGAGGUCCCGGGCGGCUCGGCCACGGCCCGGGCGCCGGGGCCUGAGGAGGCGCGGGUCCCCGCCGGCCGCCCCGAGCGCGGCGCCGCGGCCCUUCCCGAGGAGCGGCCCUCCCGCGCCCUGUGCCCGGCGGCUCCGGCCGAGUCCCCGACCGCCUCGCCCGAGGCGCACGCAGCGGCGCGGCCGAGGCGCCACCCCCGCCCCGGGGGCGCCGGCGCUGCCCCCCACGAGGCGGGCCCGCCCUCCGCGUACUCACCGGGCCUCCCCGGCCGCCGGCUCGGCCCUCCUGUCCCUCCUCCCCCCGCCGCCGCCGCCGCCGCUCCCGCGGCUCCGGGGCGGCCGCGCUGGGCGUUGGGACUAGGCUGGGUCAAGGGGCGGGGGCGGGGGCGGGCUCGCGCGGCGGGGCUCGCGCCGCGGGCCAGCGGGCGGGCGCCGGGCACUAACGGGCCCCGCGAGCGGGCGCCGGGCUGGGCGGGCUGGGCGGGCGCGGGCGGGCGGAGCGGCCCGCGGCGGGGAGCGCGGCGGCAGCUGCGGGGAGGGGCGGGGAGAGCGCGGCUGCGAGCGAGGGCGGGAGGGAAGUCCCGGCGGAGGGGGCGGCGUGAGAGCCGCGGGGCGGGCCGGGGGCGGGGCCGGGCGCGCCCGCCGCCGCCGCGCGCCGGGGUUUGUUUAUUUCCCCGGUUGGUUGCGGCGCUGGCGCGUGGGGAGAGGUUCGCCGGUGACGUGAGCGCCCCGGGCCGGGGGAGAGGCUCGGAACCACCUGCCGGAGAAGGGGAGCUACGGGGGCCGGGCAGGGUCCAAACGGCUCGCGUAGGCGGCGGCGCCGCGGUCCUCGGGGUUACCGGGAAGGGAAGGGCUUUCCCUGGGCGGGCGCAAGGAGGAGGCCUCCCGAGAGAACGGGGCUCCAGGCCGUUCCGCCACGGCUCGGCGGCCUCACCUGCGUGGCGGAGAGCAGUCUGGGGGUGA